GAUUAGCUUGUUGGUGGGGUAACGGCUCACCUAGGCGACGAUCCCUAGCUGGUCUGAGAGGAUGACCAGCCACACUGGAACUGAGACACGGUCCAGACUCCUACGGGAGGCAGCAGUGGGGAAUAUUGCACAAUGGGCGCAAGCCUGAUGCAGCCAUGCCGCGUGUAUGAAGAAGGCCUUCGGGUUGUAAAGUACUUUCAGCGGGGAGGAAGGGAGUAAAGUUAAUACCUUUGCUCAUUGACGUUACCCGCAGAAGAAGCACCGGCUAACUCCGUGCCAGCAGCCGCGGUAAU
rnacentral:rRNA from 1 species